rnacentral:pre_miRNA from 1 species
AAAAGAAAUGUCAACAUUGCUACUUUAACAAUAGUGCUGACCUUUAAGUAAAAUUAGCUAAGUGCUAUUUGUAGGGGAGUUUUACGUGA